rnacentral:rRNA from 1 species
GACGAACGCUGGCGGCGUGCUUAACACAUGCAAGUCGAACGGACAGGCGCUACGUUUGUGUGGUGCUCGUUUGGCGCACGGGUGAGUAACACGUGUGUAACCUCCACUUGACUUUGUGGUAACUUCAGGGGAAUCGGGCUCAUACCGCAUAUAAUCUCCUGCAGCGUAUGGGGCGUUGGAAAGAUUCGGCGGUGGGGGAUGGACUAGAGGGUUAUCAGCUUGAUGGGGGGGUAGUGGCUUACAAAGCCUUUGACGGGUAGCCGGCAUGAGAGGGUGACCGGGCACAUUGGGACUGAGAUACGGCCCAGACUCCUACGGGAGGCAGCAGUGGGGAAUAUUGCACAAUGGGCGCAAGCCUGAUGUAGCAACCCCGCGUGCGGGAUGACGGCCUUCGGGUUGUAAACCGCUUUCGCCUGUGACGAAGCGUGAGUGACGGUAAUGGGUAAAGAAGCAACGGCUAACUACGUG